GACGUAGGUGGCGAACGUUAUCCGGAAUUAUUGGGCGUAAAGGAUGCGUAGAUGGUAGAAUAAGUUACUGGUCGAUGCCAAACUCAAUUUGGCGGAAGCCGAUAAUACUGUUCUACUCGAGGGCAGGAGAGGUUGUUGGAAUUCUGUGUGGAGCGGUGAAAUGCGUUGAUCUACAGAGGAACACCAAAAAAGGCGAAGGCAAUCAACUAUUCUGUUCCUGACAUUGAGGCAUGAAAGCGUGGGGAGCAAACCGG
rnacentral:rRNA from 1 species